GUGGGUACUAGGGAUUGAAUUUAGGGUUGCUUAAUCACCGAGCCACAUUCCCAGUCCUUUUUAUAUUUUAUCUUAUUUAUUUAUUUAUUUAUUUAUUUAUUUAUUUAUUGUUGCCAAUGAUUAAACCAAGGGGCACUUAACCAUUGAGCAAUAUUCCUAGCCCUUUUUUUAUAUUUUUAUAGACAGGGUCUCCCUAAGGUGGUUGCUGAGGCUGGCUUUGAACUCACAGUCCUCCUGCCUCAGCCUCCUGAGUCACUGGGAUUACACCACAUCUGGCUUUUAUAUUUUAUUUUGAGACAGGGUCUCAUGAAGAAGCUUAGGGCCUCGCUAAGUUGCUGAGGCUGGCUUUUGAACUCCUGAUUCUCCUGCCUCAGCCUUCCCAGUGGAGAAACAGGGAUUUCUUGAGAAGAAGGUAAGUAAUUUUGUAUUCUCUUUGUAUCUAAUUUUGUGUUCUUGAAAAAAAGACCUGUAAUACCAGUAAUUACUAAAACAGCAGGCGGGGAGGGUGGAUUUAAU
rnacentral:lncRNA from 1 species